UUAGAGCAUCUGGUUUGUUGCUUCACGGAUUUGUUGCACUCGCGUGUCUAAUCGGGCUUUAAAUCAGCAAGAAUCAGUUCAAACUGAUCACAAUAUACAUUAAGAUCGUUGAGUAACUUAUACAGAACGCCUUCAAUCGAUGUCCGACAUGUCCGCCUAUAAAAGUAUUUGUUUCUAUGCAAACUAAUCUCUUUGCAUUUACAUAGGACAGUAAAUUGUUGCAGACAGUACGUUUGUCGGAGUUUGGCGGAUUGCUACUUAUAAGAAAUACAUAUCACAGGACUGAUUGGUCGAUUGGCCGUCUGCUUGUACCGAUGCAAACUAGUGUGCCAGUUUCAAAGCUUUUGUCAUGAAAUCUAACAGAGAUCCGUCAUGGUUUUACAGGCAGAUCGGUGCACUAUGAUUGUACUCAAAAUAUAUUUCUAGUAUGCCGUCAACUUAGUACCAAAUGCAAACCUGGCACAAUAACAACAGCGAAGAGAGCACGCGCCAAAAACUCACCAAAAAUGAAGCGACAAUGCAGCAGCAGCAGCAGCAAGGCCAUUAUGCCGCACACACACACACACACACACACACACAGCGACAAAUUGGUCUGACAGCAUCGGAUGGGGCAUUUCUAACUAUGCGACCUCAACACCAGUAACCAACACCAACAACAUGCACCGCACCCUCUGCUUCUUCCAACCGAAAACUCGCAACAACAAAUGAAAAUUCCAAGAAUAUUCGCAUUCGCAGUGAGUUUUGGCUUUUGCGGCUGCCAGUCGCUGUUUACUUGGCUUCCCCGGUUAUUUACGGCCUGCAAAUUUUUUGCUAUCCUAUUUGGUUUCUAUAUACCAAUUUUUUGUUUCUUUUCUUUUUUAUUUAUUUAUUUUUUUUUUUGGUUCAUUGUUUGUUGCUGGCUCGUUGCCAAAAGGGAAAUAUGUGUUGUGAAAAUUGCACAUUUUUAUAGCCAUCGCUAGGUGCUAAACUAUGGGUAUCUGCUCCUUUGCUCCCACUCCGAUUCUGACCUUUUUAAUUGCGCUGCAAUUUUUUAGUAUCGAUUUUUGAUUUGUUGUUAAAAUAAGAGAAUUUUCAACGCAUUUCGUGUAAUUUGAUUAUGGUUCCUCGUUUUCGCCACGCCAUUCGCUAAUUAGGCCCAUGAAGCUGCGACGUGUAUGGCUCGUUUGGCUUGUUGCAUAAUUUAUUUUUCAUAUGUAGCAAAGCCGCACAAUUUGCAUAUAUUUUGUAGUCGUGUAAACAAGUAAGCAAGUUAGUUAUUACGAAUGUGGGAUGCUCUUUCGAAUUAUGCAGACAUUUUCGCGCCGAUGCCCUUGAGGCCUUAAACCGAGCACUGUUCACAAUUAACAUUUGUUUUUGAUAAACACUUUCGAUAGAUUUUCAGAUAUGCGAAUCAAUAUCGAAGCACUAUAAGCACCUAAUUGUGCUUAUUAGAUAAUACUAUUAUUUUUUUAUUAUAUGUUGAUAAAAUGUUUGUUUGUUUAUAUAAGCUUAAAGUAAUUGAUAUAUGGCGUUUUACACAAUGUUCCAUAUUUAUUCAUGAAAACCAACAACUCCAAGUUCCAUAAAUACAAUUCAUAAAUAACAUGGUUAGCGCAGCUAUGAAUAAAAUGCUAUGCUCGUCAAAUACAAAUAAAAUAUAUUGAUUCUUUGUGAAAUAAUUUCAAUGCAUAUAGACCUAAAUUAUGAAAUUAUGGCUUUAUAUAUAUCCGAAGCAAAUAUAUUACUCAGCAUAAUUAAUAAAAGCUGAUUGUAUUCCGAAUAUUUAGCUGAUGCUAUCCAGAAUAAUAAUACAUGUCAACUUCUUAGCCAAGGCAUUACAUUAAUAAAGGAAACACUAAAUUGUGACAGUCUUAACUGAAAGCCAAAAUUUUCGAUUUAUUAU